UGUGGCAGACCAGUGCAAUAAACUUAAGAUUUAUUCAGAAAGUAACCUUUCUUUAGA
rnacentral:tRNA from 1 species